AAAAUGAUGCUAGUCAUCUCUGCACAAGUGUAUCAACCACUUAACUCCUGGCUCCAGCUCCUGAGUGAGGCUUUAAACGUGAGGAUGGGAACGUGGUUACAAGGACUCUAUGGGUCACCUGCGAGCUAAAGUUUGCUUUGUGGAGAUGAAUGCGUUCUGAUGGGCACAAGCCACAAGGAUCCUGCCUGGGUUUAGCUCUGCUGAGGCCACUGAGUGCAGCAUGGAUGGGAUAUAACCCUGCUACAGAUUAUAGACGUGUUUUGGUUGAGAUUCUCUGUGCUUGAUGCAUUGUCUGCCUACAACGCAGGGCAAACUCUACUCCUCCCUUCUGGCCCGGCCUGUAAUGAUGGAUUAAGUAGGUAAGUAAUAGAGUGGUAAUGAGAUAACCACUGACAUCGAGCAUUAACGUGGGAAUAAAUGAAGUUACCAUCCAGAACUAAUGGCCUGA
rnacentral:lncRNA from 1 species